rnacentral:tRNA from 1 species
GGGUCCGUGGCUCAACGGUAGAGCACCCGGCCGUUAACCGGGGGAGUGUGGGUUCGACUCCCACCGGGCCCU